CAGGUGCUGCAUGGCUGUCGUCAGCUCGUGUCGUGAGAUGUUGGGUUAAGUCCCGCAACGAGCGCAACCCUUAUCUUUAAUUGCCAGCAUUCAGUUGGGCACUUUAAAGAGACUGCCGGUGUUAGACCGGAGGAAGUGGGAUGACGUCAAGUCCUCAUGGCCUUUAUGCUUAGGGCUACACACGCGCUACAAUGGGUGGUACAAAGAGUUGCGAAACUGUGAAGUUAAGCUAAUCUCAUAAAGCCGGUCUCAGUUCGGAUUGUAGUCUGCAACUCGACUACAUGAAGUCGGAAUCGCUAGUAAUCGCGAAUCAGAAUGUCGCGGUGAAUACGUUCUCGAGUCUU
rnacentral:rRNA from 1 species